AAUGCCCCUUGAGGCGUUGCAGCCCAACUGUUGUGUUGCAGCUGUGUCAUAAGGUGGCAGAGAGAGAACGGUGGUAGUCUGCACUGGGACUCUACAACACAUAGAGGACUAGAGUGAUACUCUCACCAACAAU